GAUGAACGCUGGCGGCGUGCCUAAUACAUGCAAGUCGAGCGAACAGACGAGGAGCUUACUCCUCUGACGUUAGCGGCGGACGGGUGAGUAACACGUGGAUAACCUACCUAUAAGACUGGGAUAACUUCGGGAAACCGGAGCUAAUACCGGAUAACAUGUUGAACCGCAUGGUUCAACAGUGAAAGACGGUCUUGCUGUCACUUAUAGAUGGAUCCGCGUCGCAUUAGCUAGUUGGUAAGGUAACGGCUUACCAAGGCAACGAUGCGUAGCCGACCUGAGAGGGUGAUCGGCCACACUGGAACUGAGACACCGUCCAGACUCCUACGGGAGGCAGCAGUAGGGAAUCUUCCGCAAUGGGCGAAAGCCUGACGGAGCAACGCCGCGUGAGUGAAGAAGGUCUUCGGAUCGUAAAACUCUGUUAUUAGGGAAGAACAAGUGUGUAAGUAACUAUGCACGUCUUGACGGUACCUAAUCAGAAAGCCACGGCUAACUACGUGCCAGCAGCCGCGGUAAUACAUAGGUGGCAAGCCUUAUCCUGAAUUAUUGGGCGUAAAGCGCGCGUAGGCCGGUUUUUUAGGUCUGAUGUGAAAGCCCACGGCUCAACCGUGGAGGGUCAUUGGAAACUGGAAAACUUGAGUGCAGAAGAGGAAAGUGGAAUUCCAUGUGUAGCGGUGAAAUGCGCAGAGAUAUGGAGGAACACCAGUGGCGAAGGCGACUUUCUGGUCUGUAACUGACGCUGAUGUGCGAAAGCGUGGGGAUCAAACAGGAUUAGAUACCCUGGUAGUCCACGCCGUAAACGAUGAGUGCUAAGUGUUAGGGGGUUUCCGCCCCUUAGUGCUGCAGCUAACGCAUUAAGCACUCCGCCUGGGGAGUACGACCGCAAGGUUGAAACUCAAAGGAAUUGACGGGGACCCGCACAAGCGGUGGAGCAUGUGGUUUAAUUCGAAGCAACGCGAAGAACCUUACCAAAUCUUGACAUCCUCUGACCCCUCUAGAGAUAGAGUUUUCCCCUUCGGGGGACAGAGUGACAGGUGGUGCAUGGUUGUCGUCAGCUCGUGUCGUGAGAUGUUGGGUUAAGUCCCGCAACGAGCGCAACCCUUAAGCUUAGUUGCCAUCAUUAAGUUGGGCACUCUAAGUUGACUGCCGGUGACAAACCGGAGGAAGGUGGGGAUGACGUCAAAUCAUCAUGCCCCUUAUGAUUUGGGCUACACACGUGCUACAAUGGACAAUACAAAGGGUAGCGAAACCGCGAGGUCAAGCAAAUCCCAUAAAGUUGUUCUCAGUUCGGAUUGUAGUCUGCAACUCGACUACAUGAAGCUGGAAUCGCUAGUAAUCGUAGAUCAGCAUGCUACGGUGAAUACGUUCCCGGGUCU
rnacentral:rRNA from 1 species